rnacentral:rRNA from 1 species
CUACGGGGCGCAGCAGUAGGGAAUAUUGCACAAUGGACGAAAGUCUGAUGCAGCAACGCCGCGUGUGCGAUGAAGGCCUUCGGGUUGUAAAGCACUUUUCUGAGGGAAGAGGAAGGACGGUACCUCAGGAAUAAGUCUCGGCUAACUACGUGCCAGCAGCCGCGGUAACACGUAGGAGGCAAGCGUUAUCCGGAUUUACUGGGCGUAAAGCGCGUGCAGGCGGGUCGGUAAGUUGGAUGUGAAAGCUCCUGGCUCAACUGGGAGAUGCCGUUCAAUACUGCCGGACUCGAGGACGGUAGAGGGAGGUGGAAUUCCCGGUGUAGUGGUGAAAUGCGUAGAUAUCGGGAGGAACACCAGUGGCGAAAGCGGCCUCCUAGGCCGUUCCUGACGCUAAGACGCGAAAGCAUGGGUAGCGAACGGGAUUAGAUACCCGGGUAGUC